UAUGACCUGGCAGGGUUUGGCCGCCAUUACAGAGAGCAGAAUCCAGAAAACUCUAUGGAAAACUGCUCAGCCAUUCAUUGCGCAAAUAGUCUGUCCAAAGGACCAGAUUUGUCAUCUUUCAAGUUGCCCAGAAACAAAGACAGUGUCAUGUUGGCAUGCCUUCAGAGGAUUGACAAGAUUUGGGCUUUUUGAUUUCUGCGCAAAAGCUCUGCUUCAUCCUCCACCAGUUGCAGCUGCUGCCUGAGCUCUGAGAGCGCCUCACCCUGCUCCCUGCACUGUUGACCUCCACUGCCAUCUCCAUCCACUCCUGCAGCCGCCAGGCUGCAAGUAGAAGAAGACACAACUGUUGACUCGUAACUGUUGGGAUUGUCUGCAGCCUCAACAAAACACUCAGCCUUGAGUCCCCUGUUCUCCACCUCCAGCUCCACAAUCUUUCUCCCCAAGAUGUUGGCUUCCUCCUCAACCAGACGCAAACGGAGCUUCAGUUCAGACUCCCGCGUGGUGGGAGGCCCCCCGGCUUCACCUUUAGAUCCGCCGUCUUUGAGGCCGGCCGGGGAGGAGGAGCGUGGCUGCUUCCGGCUGCUAUUGUCGGCGGAGGAUGAUGGCUGCAUCAUGGUGGCAGAGCAUCAGCUCAUCCUCGACAACAUCCCGUCCCCUCCCUGCAGCUGCAACAUAACAUCACGCUGACUGUGUAGACGGAUGCUGAAGGGUAGCCGUGAUGAAGGCAGAAGGGAUGCCGACUCCACAGCCUCCCAUCCACCAGCCAGCUCAUUUGCAUAUUCAUGACAUUACAUCAUCGCUGGAAGGGCUGCUGUCAUUGGUGGACUGAAACGGUACAGGAAACACACGGUGUCUGUCCCUUUAAUGGACCAAAAUGAUAAUGGUACUGGUUUUAUUUCAUUUGAACAUGCAUCAGAUUACAAUUGAGUGCAUCCCAUAAUCAGUUCACGGUUCCACAUGUCCAAAAGGAGUAGGAAGAAGCAAAGCUUAUUAAAUCCUACCCCUCCAUCUGGUACUUUUACAAUCAGUAAUUGUUACAUUUGUUCACUUCCUGCUUUCCUAAUAUAAUUUACGUUUUUUUUUUGUUUUUU